rnacentral:misc_RNA from 1 species
CGCUCGCGAAGAAGCUGUUGCCGCGCGGCGCGGGCUCGAUCAUCACGUUCGGCAUCAAGGGCGGGCGCGAUGCUGGCCGCAAGUUCAUCGAGGCCCUGAAACUCGCCAGUCACCUCGCAAAUGUCGGCGACGCCAAGACACUGGUCAUCCACCCCGGCAGCACAACGCAUCAGCAGAUGAACGCCGAGCAGUUGAAGAUAGCGGGCAUCGGCGAGGAACUGAUCCGCCUGUCCAUCGGCAUCGA